AAUCCAUGGUUCGGGCACUUCCUGGGCAUAGACUUAAAUCGAUCCCAUGCUUUGCAUAGGCUUUCCUCAGAAGGUUGGACAAAGGUGGAGAUUUCAAUUUUUAAAUC
rnacentral:snoRNA from 1 species